CGUGUGUGUGUGUGUGUGUGUGUGUGUGUGUGCGCGCACACACACACACACACACACAUAUAUAUAUA